rnacentral:misc_RNA from 1 species
AUAAGGUCAUAUAUGAUUAUAUCCUCCCCCACUCACCCGGGGACCCCGUUUGACUGACACUGGAUCUAUUGAUCCACAGUCCGAAAGAUGCUGCCGACAUUGGUAGUACGUGUAGCAAACCGUUAUUAAAGCCGUAUAGGUAGAAUUACCUUUUACUUGAAUUUUUCACAACGUUGACCACACUAUAAUAUUAAAUGAUAUGCUGUAAUUCUCAACAUAGAACACAACAAUUUCCUGUGAAAAUGGACGUUGUCCUUGAACAAGGUGCUCUACAAGGACUUCAAAAUAAAACACUUUUGUCGAACAAACCUUAUGUCAGUUUUCUCGGCAUACCCUACGCUAAACCCCCCGUUAACGACUUACGAUUCAAGGCUCCUGUUAAACACCCGGGUUGGUCCGGCGUUUUAGAAGCUAUUUCGGAAGGAGACAAAUGCAUGCAGUACGCUUUCAUGACGGACCACAUCAUCGGAAACGAAGAUUGUCUGUACCUGAACGUAUUGGUGCCACAAGUCGUAAAAACACAGAACGAACCGAAUGGAAAACUUGCUGUUAUGAUAUUCAUACACGGGGGCGCCUUCAAUUAUGGCUGUGGAUCAGUAAAUGAAUACUCCCCCGAUUAUUUGCUCGACGAAAACGUGAUUGUCGUUACACUGAAUUAUCGUCUGAACGUCUUAGGAUUUCUAAACUUGGAUAUUGACGAGUGUCCUGGUAACAUGGGCUUGAAAGAUCAACUAUUUGCAAUCAAAUGGAUAAAAGAAAAUAUAGCUGCGUUUGGGGGUGACGCUGACAAUAUCACUAUCUUCGGCGAAAGCGCUGGGUCAGCGUCUGUUCAUUGUCACACAAUAUCACCACAAUCAACAGGUUUAUUUCAAAAAGCAAUCAUGCAAAGUGGAUGUGCAUUAAAUCCAUGGGUGUUAAAUGAAAAUCACAGGGCUGCGGCCUUCAAGUUGGCCAAUAAUUUAGGAUGUUUAAGUAAUGAUCCCAAGGAAAUAGUAAAAUACUUAAAAAACGUACCUGCCAUUGAUUUGGUGAAGGGAACUAAAUUCAAGGAUGAAACAGGUUUUCUGGAUUACAAGUUCGUACCAUCUAUUGAAAGUGUCACGGUCAGUAAUCCAUUUUUACCGGCUCAUCCUGAACAAUUAGUCAACGAUGCAUCUCCAGUACCAGUAAUUAUUGGACUUAACAAUAUGGAAGGAAUGAUAGCAUUAAUUGAGCACAGAAUAAGUCAAUUUUCUGAUGAUCGCAUAACAGAUGAAAUAUCAAAACUGUGUAAAAAUCGGUACAGCACUGAAGCCAUAACUAAAAUAAAAAAUUUUUAUUUCAAUAAAUGUAAUAUUGAAUCUGAAACGACAAAAUUGGAACACAUAUGUCACCUGCACAGUGACGUAUUAUUUGUCAAAGACUUCUAUCGCGGCUUCGAUAAUUUCCUGAAACAAGACGUCACACCGGUUUACAAAUACGAAUUCAAAUUCGACGGUGAACUUAACGCUGUCAAAAACAUGGUUUUUGCUACGAGACCCGUUCUUCGGCAUACCAUAAAAGGUGCAUGCCAUGCGGAUGAAAUUAAUUAUUUGUUCCAUGGUAAACUAUCUGGGGUCGUUCCAAAACCCAACUCUCCGGAACUCGAAAUGUGUAAGAUGAUGGGUAAGAUGUGGUCCAAUUUCGCGAAAUCGGGUGAUCCAAAUUCGUCGGAUUUAAGUUUCAAAUGGCUUAACGCGAGCGCAAGUGCUCCAGAAUAUUUGUCAAUAGACGGAGACAGGACACGAAUGGCUGAAGGGAUGAUAAACAGCAACAGAUUACGUCUUUGGCAAGAGAUAUCGGAAUCCGUUGUUUAGGCGAUAACAAAUAAUAAUUGUCUUCAAUCAUACUUAAUUAUUAUAAUAUAUAGCAGAAAAACUAUUUGAAAACUAUAAUUUUAGUUUGCAGUGUGUAUCGGCACCUAACAUAAUAUUAUACGAAAUAAAUAAAUAAUUUGCAGUUGUGCACAUAUACAGUAGGUAAGUAUAUCAUGUAUUCUACAUAAUAACUGCAGAGAGCUACCUAGCAACAAUUCAAAAACAAAUUGAAAACCUCUCCACGCCAAAUAAGAUUGCCAGAAAAAUCCAAAAUCAAGUCUAUAACCUAACAAAUUCUGGAUAUUCUAUUAUCUUGAUGUAUAUUCCAAGUAACAAUCGAAUCUUGGGAAUCAAAAGAGCUAAUAAAAUAAAAAAGCACGCUAAGCAGUCCAAGCAAUAACUUCCUCAGAUGCUAUUAUACAUUUGAUUAUUUCACCUUCCACUUAAGCUAUAUUUAAGACAAUCUCAAACAGCAUAUGGCUACGGUCGCAUGGAUUCAAGAAUUUGCUAUAAAUGUCGAAAAUAAAAAAUGUUUACACGGUUGAAAACAUUAAAAAUGUAAUACAAAGUUCCCCAUGAGUUGUUAAUUAAUUACCGCAAUUAAAAAUAUCAAAAACAUAUAGUAUUCAUUUUUGAUUUGAUUACUGUAAAAGUUAGAGUUUUGACAAUAUUCGUCAAAAUCUUAAGUUUGCAAAUUUUUUAGUAGUUACCUAAUUAAUAUUCAUGACAUAUUUUGUAAUAUUCAUACUUGAGAUUUGAUAACUAAAUAUAAUGUUACCCAUAAGUUGUUAUUGUUAUUAGAUUUUAAUAAAUAAAAAGUUGAACGUAA